CAGUCGCCACGGGAAUACAGAGGGUGCGAGCGUUAAUCGGAUUUACUGGGCGUAAAGCGUGCGUAGGCGGCUUCUUAAGUCGGAUGUGAAAUCCCUGAGCUUAACUUAGGAAUUGCAUUCGAUACUGGGAAGCUAGAGUAUGGGAGAGGAUGGUGGAAUUCCCGGUGUAGCGGUGAAAUGCGUAGAGAUCGGGAGGAACAUCAGUGGCGAAGGCGGCCAUCUGGGACAACACUGACGCUGAGGCACGAAAGCGUGGGGAGCAAACAGGAUUAGAUACCCGAGUAGUCCCUGUCUCUUAUAC
rnacentral:rRNA from 1 species